AAGAUGACAAACACCCUGGCUCAAGAGAUGAAAUGGUUAAAAAAAAAGUGUCAGCAUCCUCCAGUUACAUUCAGUUUGCCAAAGCCACAGUGUUCUUCAUUCACCACACCCAUCUUUCCAAGGCCUUCCCUUAUUUUUCGGACAUGGGAUGUUAUGACAUGUUUUAAGAGCAAAGAUCUAAUUACUACAAGGAAUGCAGCUCCCCAGCUCACGGGCCUUGCAAAACAAUUUCGCCUCCAAGGAAUAGGUCUGGUCCUCCUCUUCCUCCCCCCCCCCCCCGUGUGAAUGCCAGUGAUUUGUAUGCCCUUUCAAACUCCAACUCUAUAUCCCUGAUACACUUCCUAGCCAUACCUCAUUAGAUCCUUAAAUUAUGCACUGGGAUCUGUUCUCUAGCUCCAGCUCUUUCUAGUGAAAAGCUUUUCUUAGGCUGCCUUGCUUUGUCCCAGUUAUCGUGCAGCCUGGGAUUGCUCCUUCAAUCUUAAAUCCAGUCUGAAGCCUCUGCCAUCCAGGUAGCCAGUGACUGCAGGGUCAACUGAACUGCUCCCAUAGCAGAGAUCAUGCUAGCCAUAUUCUCUGACAUUUCUUUGAGCAGUGGAAAUACCUGCUCCUGCCUCAUGCCUGGCCACAUGGCUAAGAUUCCAUUCUUGGUGGUGGGUUUCUGCUCAUCUUGACUUUUUCAGCAGUUUUUGCAUGGCCUGAGACCUCUACCAAAGUCUUAUUGCUAGCCUGGUAAGUUUAGAUGCUGUUAGGUGUGCUGGAGAGGCUUUGGGGGUGAGGUCAUUACAUUUUAAAAAAUUCUUUCCUCUCUAGCAUGGAGCAGGUGACACCACAUGAUGAGCCUGGCAUCAUGGUACCUGACAAUUAUUUUCCAUCACCUCUAGCUAUGUAACUCCUCGUGAAAAAGUUUUGUGCUAUCACAAUGGCAGCAUACCAUGGUGCAGUAACUCAAGAUGUUACUCAAAAGUGGCACCAUGGUGGGAAGAAGCCAGUUUGGUUUUGAGCCUCAUGCCAUGGCCCCUUCAACUUAGUAGCUCAGUUCCUACCUCAGCCGAUUGUGCUUAGGUGUUGCAGUUGAUAUGGCCUUUGAUUGGAGAGCUUCAAAUUAGGGUGGGGUGGGGGCUCAUUCAGGCCCAUUAUACAACCCCUUUGCACUAAUCUAGCAGCAUGAAGGGGAUGCACCGCUGGCAUGGGGAAAUCCUUAGCAGGUGUAGAGCCAGCUCUAUGCAUUCCCCUUCUGUCCCAUUGUAGGAGCGUAUGUGGGGGGGGGGUGCCUGGGGAGAAGGGAAGUUGGCAAUCCCCACCUGGGAUAAUAGCCCUUUGAGGGGCAUUACUAGCCAGCAUUAAUUAGAGCAGUCCUCAGUUAGAGUAGCCUAGGGGCUGGUCUAUUUUAUGCGAGGAGUUGAAGCAACUCCCAGAAACAAGGGUGAGUGGGGAGUGCAGAUGUGGCAUACAGUCUCUUUUUCCUUCCCCUCCACCAAGUCGUGUAUUCAGAUGGACUCAGAGAUUGGAGCCAGAGAGUUUAACGUACUAAAUAAGCUGCAGAAGCCACAGCACAUUGGGGUGAGUUAAGGACAUACUUUCCAGCCAUAAUUCUGAGUUUCCUAGCUUUUGUCAGCUUAAGCCAGAUUCUUAAUGUUAUUUUAAUGCAGUUGUUGUGUGUGUGUGUGUGAAUAAUAUGCUCUUUAUGCCAAACCACAAGCCCUGGAACUAAUAUCUCAUAAAAAUGCUGAGAGCCCAAAGUGAAUAGCUGUUAUGCAGAAAAUAGGGUGAUAGCUAAAAAAUUACAGCCUGCUGUUAUUCCCACUGUGGAGGUAAAAUGAAAUGUGACUAGUGACUGGUACUGGGUGCAAUUGAAUGUACAUGAUCAGUGACUGGGGAGGAAAUAUCAUAUUAUUAGCUUUAAACCAGAACAUGCUAUGGCUCAUCAUUCAAAAGAGUGUGUAUAAAGUGCACCCCAACCCUUAACUGGAGUACAGGGAAUCUGAAUUCAGGGUAGUUGGGGGAUUUCCAUCUGCUUGUCCUUUUAAGGAGGAGUUAAAAAAAUGUUCAGUAUUUAAAAUAACACUCCACCCACUGAUGGGUUAAUACAGCUCAUCCUCACUCGCGGGCAAUGAUUCACUAGAGGAGAACUCAGGAUACCAAAAAGAUGGAUGGAUCCUUUCGCCCAAGGUCGGUGGUUUUUGAGCAAGUCACGGAAGUGGUGAAGUCAGGCUCCCCAGCACACUACAGCCCCUGCCAGCUGGACAAGAAGCAGCAGUGGUGUCAGCUCAGGGGCAGGUGCUUGUUUGCCUUCCCAGCCAGCAAAAGUUUGUGGAGAUGGAAACAGCAGCGAGUCAUGAGGAGAGGGAGGGAGGGAGGUAGAAGGGUAAAGGACUGAGGUGAAGGAAAAGAAAAAACAGGAAUUCAGUGUUCGUAAGUUUGUGUCAUGUUCAUUCCAGUCUCAGAAAUCAAGCCAUGGGAUGUCAAUGCAUCCUGUGAGAGUGCCAAGAUUUCUGACAGGAGUUACUAUCUUUUCUCAAGAGCACAUAAGAAGAUUCCCCCCCCCCCCCGAACAUCUGAUUUAGAAACCUCACAUCCUGAUGGGCAAAACAAAGAUAAGGCAGCCCGUAGAAAGGGGGAUGCUGAUUUAGAAAUAAGAAAUGAAGUAGGGUCUGUAGACAGUGGUUGUGGGUAAACACCUUCAAUAGAACUUUUUAGGGUGUACAAAUGGUAUAGGUAAAACAAGGGCGGAAACUUGUAAUUACUCCACAGUAAUGAAUGCAAUCCUUAAUAGAUUUGGGGCACUAGCUGGGUCUAUGACUUAUUGCCCACAAAAGAAUCAGCGAGGAAAAAGGAUACUCUCUAGAAACAAACUAUUGAUUAUUUGCCUGUAACACAAAAGGGAUUCGCUUCUGCAGAGCGGAAGAAUUGAUGUGUCGUGUGCACUGUUUAUUUUGCUUUAAUCAGAUUCACACCCCCUACCUCCCACUCUUAAUAAAGCUUGUUUUACUACA